UAUUGGUUGUGCUUGUAGUGUAAUAUUAAGUUUUUUUUUUAAUUUGGUAUCUACUGACAUAAUAUAAAUAUUUCUUGAAUUGGAACGACAACGAUUUUCGAAUAAUUGGCAAUCUUUCGGCUUCCCGCCAUAAUUCUCUAACUUUCAAGUAAAAUAGUUUUAUUCGGGAUUUUUACCAUAGAUAAGUUUAGGAUUCGAUUUUUUAUUCCUGUUUGUUAUUUUCUUAAGUAACACAUUAAAUCAAACUAAACUAUGAGCAGGGAACAAGAUUAAUAAGAGUUUAAAUAUGUAACAAUAUCUAUUAAUAGGAAGGGGAAUUCUACAAUAUAAUAUAACGAAAGGGAUGCAAAAUAUGGGGUGACCUUUAAAAAAGGAAUGUGGCUUAUAAUGGAUUAUGUAUCAGCUAUUCUACAAUGCGACAAAAACAAGCUGACACGAAGCUCACCAAACAAAAUAUAUUAACAGAACAGGGCACAAGAAAUACCAUCAUAACUAAAUUUAUUUUCAGGAACCUUUGUGCUACGAGUGCGUAGCGCUACGUGAUGGCUGCUACGCACUACGCCCUUCACGAUGUUCGGUGGAGGCGCGCGGCGGACUCGUCAGCGGUGUCAUGUCUACUGUCGCGUGCCCCAGAGACAUAGCCUCCAGGUGAAUGUACUUAUACUUGUUAUCCAACUUGAUGACAGAAUGUGUGGCGACAUGCUUUUAUACUAUUAUCAAGUAAUAUUUUCUAAUGACAAGAUAGUUUCCACGAGAAUUUCUUAUGUCAAUGCAUGUAAUGAAUAAUACGAUAUUGACUGCAGAACAUAAGAAAUAUGUUGUUAUAUCGGAUGUUUCUUGUAAAUUGGUAUUAAGUAGUUCGCACAUCAGGUAUUAGGUUCACAGUGCACAAUAACAUUGGGUACAUACUAAAUUAUAAGCCAAACAAGAACAUAACAUUCCUUUCACACAAAUUUACAAAGCGGAUACCUACACAGACUUUUUUAUACAAAUUAUAUCUACUAGAAUAGCAUUUUAAUGAAUGUGAGCGUUGUUUACUACACUAUAAAAAGAAGUAUAGUGCAGCAUUAUACUAUUAUAUUCGUAUGAAAUCCAACAUAAGGCAAUCGAAUAAAGAUCAAGACAAUACCGCGGUUAGCAAUAUUGCGCUGUACACAAUCACAGUAAACAAGAUAGAUGGAUCCGCUGAAUGUGCCGCCGGUGGGUCACUAAUCGUAAACGUAGCGCCGGCCGAUUGCCGAUAUAUCCCUGGUUUAGCUAACAAUAUCAUAACGCAACCGGACAAAGUUUACGCGCCGCGGCGAGGAGUCGAGACGCGAUCCGCCGCGGAUGAGGCGCAUUUUGCAACUACUUUCAACUCUGUUCAGUAUUUUCGUGACAUUACACUUAACGACUACUACUGAGGUAGUUUGCAAAUUCGAAAAACAUAGUAAGUAGUUCGCGAACGUUUGGUGGCGGGGACCGUAUACCAUCAGGGUUAUCUGCUUCUCUGCCUUCCCAGGCGAUAAGGAAACAAAAAGAAAGUGCCCGAUCUCGGGUGACGCUCGCUCGAAUUGUACGUAGGUAAAGUCACAAUGUGACUGUCGUGGUCGCCAGUCGCGUUAUUAUCAAGUGGGUGAUUUGAUCAUCUCGUCUUGAGCUUGUUUAUAAAUGAGCCUGAAUGGGAGUUAUAUCAAGCACAGCUCAAUAUUUAUAUCAAAGAAGCUCGAGACAUGCCACAUCGCAUAUAUUGCAGUUUCGUGUUUAAGACGAUUGAACGCGAUCUAAGACAAAGUGUGUUAUUUCUCGCGGGAUCCCUCCAGGGGCGGCGGGAUGGUUGCGGGGAGUCGGGCCCGCUCGCGGACGCGGACUCCGCAGGGGUGGGAUGGGGCCGAGUGGAGCGUGCAGCUACAGUAUAUGAGGGAAAUAGCGCCAUGUAUUUGUCAUCGGGCUCGCGCACGGACUUGCAUCCGCCACGCAAUCCUUUCAGUAUCACUUAAUAAAUGUGGUUAUAAUUUCAUUUAUGAUUGUAAUUCUAUUGUAAUGCUGUUACACCUAUUAUUUUUAUUAGAAUAGAGCUAUUUAAUCAAUGCGGCGACUAAAAGUCACAACACGCACGUUAUACUAGAAAUAAAAGCAAAAUCAUGUUUUUAAAUGAGAAAUCUGACAAAGAUACCGCCCACUAACGUCGAAAGGAUGUACACUGUAUGUGUAUAGACAAUAGACUUGCAUCAAAAAAGCAUCUGUCGUAAGUGUGUGUUAUUUCGCACGGAGGCGGCGCGGCGUGUAGAGCUCUCCGCCCGAAUCAUUACCCACCACUCACGCACCGCUCGAUGUGGCGCAGCACGACAGCGCCGACACCCUGCAUGUCACUCAUUUUAAUAUGUAAACGUUAUCAAAGGCUUCGGUUUAUUGCUAAUAAAAGGACAUGACUAAUUGUAAUACGAAAAAAAUAUCCACAAAUCUGGUGACUUACCAUUCGUUCGUGUAGAGUGAUGAUUCCGAUGAGAUCGCAUCUUCGGUUCUUCGCCCUUAGCGAAAUAUGUUUAAUAAAUUCAUGCUUAUUCUAUAUGUUAUAAAAUAUCGAAUAAUUUAUGCCUAUUUAAGAUAGAUUUAAAAUCUAGAAACUACUUAUAAUGUUUUAGUUUGUUUUCGUAAUAAAUGUUUUAGUUUACC
rnacentral:lncRNA from 1 species